rnacentral:lncRNA from 10 species
AAAGGGGCAGGUCGCCUACAGGACUUCAUGUCGGGUGCUAGCCCAGGCUGGCAGUUGGGGCAGUUAGGACCAGACUAGCAUGGUCCUCAAACUUGCGCAGGUGAAGGAACAGAAAGGCAAGGGACUGGAACUACAGGAACAAGGAGGAGAGAGAAGAUAGAACGCAGAGAGCGAGCACACCUUUCAUCAAAAAUCUCCACUCUCUAGGCACAGCCUCGGUAACACCGAGGACAGC